rnacentral:rRNA from 1 species
UACAGAGGGGGCAAGCGUUGUUCGGAAUUACUGGGCGUAAAGGGCGCGUAGGCGGCCUGUUAAGUCGAACGUGAAAUCCCCGGGCUCAACCCGGGAACUGCGUCCGAUACUGGCAGGCUUGAAUUCGGGAGAGGGAUGUGGAAUUCCUGGUGUAGCGGUGAAAUGCGCAGAUAUCAGGAGGAACACCGGUGGCGAAGGCGGGUCUCUGGGCCGGUACUGACGCUGAGACGCGAAAGCGUGGGGAGCGAACAGG